UUCCGGUUGAUCCUGCCAGAGGUCACUGCUAUCGGGGUUCGAUUAAGCCAUGCGAGUCGAGAGGGUUCGGCCCUCGGCGUACUGCUCAGUAACACGUGGAUAACCUGCCCUAGGGGGGGGGAUAACCCCGGGAAACUGGGGAUAAUACCCUAUAGGUUACAGAUGCUGGAAUGCCCUGUAACCAAAAGCUCCGGCGCCCUAGGAUGGAUCUGCGGCCGAUUAGGUUGUUGUUGGGGUAACGGCCCAACAAGCCCGUAAUCGGUACGGGUUGUGGGAGCAAGAGCCCGGAGUUGGAUUCUGAGACACGAAUCCAGGCCCUACGGGGCGCAGCAGGCGCGAAACCUUUACAAUGCGGGCAACCGUGAUAAGGGAACCUCGAGUGCCUGUAAACGCAGGCUGUUCAGGUGUUUAAAACGCACCUGGAGAAAGGGCCGGGCAAGACCGGUGCCAGCCGCCGCGGUAAUACCGGCGGCUCGAGUGGUGGCCGCUUUUAUUGGGCUUAAAGCGUUCGUAGCUGGGUUGUUAAGUCUCUUGGGAAAUCUGGCGGCUUAACCGUCAGGCGUCUAAGGGAUACUGGCAAUCUUGGAACCGGGAGAGGUGAGGGGUACUUCGGGGGUAGGGGUGAAAUCCUGUAAUCCUCGAGGGACCACCUGUGGCGAAGGCGCCUCACCAGAACGGCUUCGACAGUGAGGGACGAAAGCUGGGGGAGCAAACCGGAUUAGAUACCCGGGUAGUCCCAGCCGUAAACGAUGCGCGUUAGGUGUAUCGGUGACCACGAGUUACCGAGGUGCCGAAGGA
rnacentral:rRNA from 1 species